AGAGGGUGCAAGCGUUAAUCGGAAUUACUGGGCGUAAAGCGCGCGUAGGUGGUUUGUUAAGUUGGAUGUGAAAGCCCCGGGCUCAACCUGGGAACUGCAUUCAAAACUGACAAGCUAGAGUAUGGUAGAGGGUGGUGGAAUUUCCUGUGUAGCGGUGAAAUGCGUAGAUAUAGGAAGGAACACCAGUGGCGAAGGCGACCACCUGGACUGAUACUGACACUGAGGUGCGAAAGCGUGGGGAGCAAAUAGGAUUAGAUACCCUGGUAGUCCACGCCGUAAACGAUGUCAACUAGCCGUUGGGAGCCUUGAGCUCUUAGUGGCGCAGCUAACGCAUUAAGUUGACCGCCUGGGGAGUACGGCCGCAAGGUUA
rnacentral:rRNA from 1 species